rnacentral:rRNA from 1 species
CCGCUAAGGAGUGUGUAACAACUCACCUGCCGAAGCAACUAGCCCUGAAAAUGGAUGGCGCUAAAGCUCCGUGCCUAUACCCGGCCGCCGGAAGGCAUAGGCGUGAGCCGUUCGCGGCGAGCGCGCGAAGCCCCGGCGAGUAGGAGGGCGCGGCGGUGUGCGCGGAAGGGUCUGGGCGUGAGCCUGCCUGGAGCCGCCGCCGGUGCAGAUCUUGGUGGUAGUAGCAAAUACUCAAGCGAGGGCCUUGAGGGCUGAUGUGGAGAAGGGUUUCGUGUGAACAGCCGUUGCACACGAGUCAGUCGAUCCUAAGCCCUAGGAGAAAUCCGAUGUCGAUGCAGGGGGCCGUUUCACGUGCUCCCCCUCGAUGGGCGAAAGGGAAUCCGGUUCCUAUUCCGGAACCCGGCAGCGGAACCGAAUCUACGGGCCCUCGUCAGAGAAGCUCGUCGGGGUAACCCAAAGGGACCCGGAGACGCCGUCGGGAGACCCGGGCAGAGUUUUCUGUUCUGCAUAAGCGUUCGAGUUCCCUGGAAUCCUCUAGCAGGGAGAUAGGGUUUGGAACGCGAAGAGCACCGCAGUUGCGGCGGUGUCCGGGUCGUCCCCUCGGACCUUGAAAAUCCGGGAGAGGGUCACGCGGAGGUGUCGCGCCGGCUCGUACCCAUAUCCGCAGCAG